CAGGCCAUCCAUCCAAGAUCAUCCAUCUGAGCUGCUGAAAACUGCCUCGGUACGGAUCUGUUAGAGCUUUGUGUCACUGACUGUAUUUCUGCAAAUUCCUGUUCCGUGUCACAUGGCUUAUGCAAGACUGAAUCCAUAAAGAUGCUGUAACCAUAAAGCAACCAGGACAACACACCUGGAGUGACCGAGAGCAGGAUGAAGAAAGAAUCGGACGAGAAAAUAUCAACUGGUGCCCAUGAGGAGACAUAUUGUUCUUGGACCUGCUUUUUCUGUUUAGUAAUAAGUGGUUUUAUGUGGUUACAUAAAAGUAAUUUAAUAUUCAAUCCACAACCUAAAUUUCCUACAUUUUCUUAAAAGGGUAGUUGACCCAAAAAGGAAAAUUCUGUCAUUUACACAAACAGUUUGGUUACAAACAUUUCUCACAAUAUCUGCCUUCCUGUUUAUCAGAACAAAGAAAUUUAUGCGGGUUUGUAACAACAUGAGAGUGUGUAAAUGAUGACAUAAUUUUCAUUUUUGGGUGAAGUACCCCUUUAACAUUUUUAUACCCAGGGGUAGGGGUGUGCAGCGGAGUCAGUAUUUGUAUCUGUAACAGUCUCAAAAUUAUUUGUAUCUGUAUUUGUAUUUGGAUGAAACCGGAAGUGGGUGGGUCUUAAACCGAAAGUUUGUCAUAUUACAUUAAAAUGGCAUUUUAAAUGCAUUUUUGCUUUUUAUUAUAAUUAUAACUUAAAUAACUGUAAAUAUUUAUUAAAAAUAAUAAUACAAAAUUUUAAUCAAAAAGACAAAUAAUUUGAUUCUCGUUAGUAAUACUCAUGGAAAGCAAACAACUCAUUUUUAAAGCCUCAUACAGCUUGUGCUAUGCAUCAUUGUAUUGUAGCAUUAAAAUAACAAACUUGAAAGCACGUUGACAAAACU